CGGGGAACCAAAACAGACCACUGCGCAAAUUUGCUUUCGAUAUUUUCGUCACCUUUUCUAACCGCAGUAAGUUGCUUUCUCGACCAGACUAAUCGGAACAUUAGCUUCUUAUUGAACGAAAACCGUAAAACAAGAUACAUUCUCUGGUGCGUGGAAAUUGCCUUACCGACACCAUAACCAGCCGCACGUACAGUACUACAGUGUCGAAUUUAAACGAGAUUGUUUAUUAGAUUGGCAUCUUGAAGCAAAAGUCAGAGGAAAAUGUCGAAUCUAAGGCUAACGCAUAGGCAUGUCCAGAGAGGGUUAUCGGGGCAGCACGUUGUAGGGCUAUACAUUAAAUUUUGUUGCUUAGUUUGAUGAUUUAAUUAUUAAUAAUACAACAUUUCACUCUUACUUGUCCGUUAAUUUAUUCAUUCUCAUGUAUAUAUAAAAAUACCUAUAAUUCGU